CUGGCAAGGGAGUGCAGCUAAGUCCCCUGCUAUUUCUGCAAGGGGAUGAUAUGGAAAGUUGGAUGGGGCGGGGGAAUAAGCAGUGCAUUUUUAAAACGCGCUAUUAAAACAUACCAGCAUGGAUCCCACAUAUCCACUUACAUCUCACCGUGCAAAGAGGUUUGCUGCAGCCGGAAGUUGUACCCGUCAGCACCUGCUGAGGGCUUCGUUGACCAAACUGACAGAUGGCUUUUGGAGAAUUUGGCAGUCUUGUUCUUAUUGGAUUAUGGGGCACCACUUUCAGAUAAAAACAUGGACCUGAUUGGCAUCAUCCAGUAUCCAUGGAAACCCUGGAGGGUGCAUUCCAUUUCUCCAGCAAAAAAAUGA
rnacentral:lncRNA from 1 species